AGUCGAACAGAAAUCCUUCGGGGAUUUAGUGGCGGACGGGUGAGNUAACACGUGAGAAUCUGCACUCAGGAUGGGGACAACAGCGGGCAAACUGCUGCUAAUACCCAAUGUGCCGCAAGGUGAAAGAUUUAUCGCCUGAGAAUGAGCUCGCGGCCGAUUAGUUAGUUGGUGGGGUAAAGGCCUACCAAGACGGCGAUCGGUAGCUGGUCUGAGAGGAUGAGCAGCCACACUGGGACUGAGACACGGCUCAGACUCCUACGGGAGGCAGCAGUGGGGAAUUUUCCGCAAUGGGCGCAAGCCUGACGGAGCAAGACCGCGUGGGGGAGGAAGGCUCUUGGGUUGUAAACCCCUUUUCUCAGGGAAGAAGUUCUGACGGUACCUGAUNAAUCAGCCUCGGCUAACUCCGUGCCAGCAGCCGCGGUAAUACGGAGGAGGCAAGCGUUAUCCGGAAUUAUUGGGCGUAAAGCGUCCGCAGGUGGUGGGGCAAGUCGGCGGUUAAAGACUGGGGCUUAACUCCAGAAAGGCCGUGGAAACUGCACCACUANAGGGCAGUANGGGUAGAGGGAAUUCCCGGUGUANCNNU
rnacentral:rRNA from 1 species